GGAAUCUUCGGCAAUGGGGGCAACCCUGACCGAGCAACGCCGCGUGAGUGAAGAAGGUUUUCGGAUCGUAAAGCUCUGUUGUAAGUCAAGAACGGGUGUGAGAGUGGAAAGUUCACACUGUGACGGUAGCUUACCAGAAAGGGACGGCUAACUACGUGCCAGCAGCCGCGGUAAUACGUAGGUCCCGAGCGUUGUCCGGAUUUAUUGGGCGUAAAGCGAGCGCAGGCGGUUUGAUAAGUCUGAAGUUAAAGGCUGUGGCUCAACCAUAGUUCGCUUUGGAAACUGUCAAACUUGAGUGCAGAAGGGGAGAGUGGAAUUCCAUGUGUAGCGGUGAAAUGCGUAGAUAUAUGGAGGAACACCGGUGGCGAAAGCGGCUCUCUGGUCUGUAACUGACGCUGAGGCUCGAAAGCGUGGGGAGCGAACAGGAUUAGAUACCCUGGUAGUCCACGCCGUAAACGAUGAGUGCUAGGUGUUGGAUCCUUUCCGGGAUUCAGUGCCGCAGCUAACGCAUUAAGCACUCCGCCUGGGGAGUACGACCGCAAGGUUGAAAC
rnacentral:rRNA from 1 species